rfam:Glycine soja cultivar W05 scaffold198_40, whole genome shotgun sequence.
CUGUCCCUUGGAGUUCCUCUGAACGCUUCAUGUUAGUGAGGGGGGUAGCCAAUGUAAACUGGUACCCAUUAUAAGCCUUAUUCAAUGAAGUGUUUGGGGGAACUCUUGGGUUCAA